AUACGGAGGAUGCAAGCGUUAUCCGGAUUUAUUGGGUUUAAAGGGUGCGUAGGCGGUUUGCUAAGCGGGAGGUGAAAUGCCGGCGCUCAACGUCGGAAGUGCCUCCCGAACUGGUGGACUUGAAUGACUCUGCCGUGGGAGGAAUGUGUAGUGUAGCGGUGAAAUGCUUAGAGAUUACACAGAACACCGAUUGCGAAGGCAUCUCACGAAGGGUUGAUUGACGCUGAGGCACGAAAGCGUGGGGAUCAAACAGGUUAGAUACCUUGGUAGUCCACGCAGUAAACGAUGAUGGCUAACCGCUGGGCUUAUCAGUUCAGUGGCCAAGCGAAAGCGAUAAGCCAUCCACCUGGGGAGUACGACCGCAAGGUUGAAACUCAAAGGAAUUGACGGGG
rnacentral:rRNA from 1 species